rnacentral:rRNA from 1 species
AUUGAACGCUGGCGGCAGGCUUAACACAUGCAAGUCGAGCGGGGGAAGGUAGCUUGCUACCGGACCUAGCGGCGGACGGGUGAGUAAUGCUUAGGAAUCUGCCUAUUAGUGGGGGACAACAUCUCGAAAGGGAUGCUAAUACCGCAUACGUCCUACGGGAGAAAGCAGGGGAUCUUCGGACCUUGCGCUAAUAGAUGAGCCUAAGUCGGAUUAGCCAGUUGGUGGGGUAAAGGCCUACCAAGGCGACGAUCUGUAGCGGGUCAGAGAGGAUGAUCCGCGAGACUGGGACUGCGACACGGCCCAGGCUACUACGGGAGGCAGCAGUGGGGAAGAUUGGACAAUGGGGGGAACCCUGAUCCAGCCAUGCCGCGUGUGUGAAGAAGGCCUUAUGGUUGUAAAGCACUUUAAGCGAGGAGGAGGCUACUCUAGUUAAUACCUAGGGAUAGUGGACGUUACUCGCAGAAUAAGCACCGGCUAACUCUGUGCCAGCCGCCGCGGUAA